CAAUAGUAUAUACUAGUGUUGUUGCGGUUAAAACGUUCGUAGUCGAAUUUCAUACUUUACGGCCAGGGUCAUCCUGGCCACGAGUUACUGUUGGUGUAUCACCACGGAGUGUAGUAUCUUCCAAGGAGAUGCAUCAACAUGUUACCUUGAAUAAAUUAUGGUGUUCAUAGCAAGCACGGAGUGCUCUGAAUACAGUAGCAUGGGAUAACAACGAGAGGACUUCGGCUCGUGAUGCAUUAGCAACCGAGAUCGAAGGAAUGAUUAAUAGGAGCAGUCGGGGGUAGUCGUAUUCCAUUGCUAGAGGUGAAAUUCUUUGACCGAUGGAGGACGAACAACUGCGAAAGCAUCUACCCAGAAUGUUUUCAUUGA
rnacentral:rRNA from 1 species